UGGGGAAUAUUGGACAAUGGGCGCAAGCCUGAUCCAGCCAUGCCGCGUGGGUGAUGAAGGCCCUAGGGUUGUAAAGCCCUUUCGGCGGGGAAGAUAAUGACGGUACCCGCAGAAGAAGCCCCGGCUAACUUCGUGCCAGCAGCCGCGGUAAUACGAAGGGGGCUAGCGUUGCUCGGAAUCACUGGGCGUAAAGCGCACGUAGGCGGCUUGUUAAGUCAGGGGUGAAAUCCUGGAGCUCAACUCCAGAACUGCCUUUGAUACUGACGAGCUUGAGUCCGGGAGAGGUGAGUGGAACUGCGAGUGUAGAGGUGAAAUUCGUAGAUAUUCGCAAGAACACCAGUGGCGAAGGCGGCUCACUGGCCCGGUACUGACGCUGAGGUGCGAAAGCGUGGGGAGCAAACAGGAUUAGAUACCCCCGUAGUCC
rnacentral:rRNA from 1 species